GCCUUCGUGGUGUAACGAUAGCCUAUUCGACCCGUAUUCGAGAGGUCUAGGUUCCAGUCCUGGCGAGGGCA
rnacentral:tRNA from 1 species